CAGCGCCACGAGUGGCAUACACAUUUAUUGGGCCUAAAGCGUCCGUAGCCGGUCAGGUAAAUCCUUUGUGAAAUCAUAGAGCUUAACUCUAUGGCGUGCAGAGGACACUGCUUGACUUGGAACCAGAAGAAAUCAGAGGUAUUCUGGGGGGAGCGGUAAAAUGCUAUAAUCCCCAGAGGACCACCUGUGGCGAAGGCGUCUGACUAGAACGGAUUCGACGGUGAGGGACGAAGGCCAGGGGAGCGAACCGGAUUAGAUACCCGAGUAGUCC
rnacentral:rRNA from 1 species